rnacentral:rRNA from 1 species
GACGAACGCUGGCGGCGUGCCUAAUACAUGCAAGUAGAACGAGUUGCGAACGGGUGAGUAACGCGUGGUAACCUGCCUCAUAGCGGGGGAUAACUAUUGGAAACGGUAGCUAAUACCGCAUACCAUCAGAUGUGCCCAGAUGGGGUUAGCUAGUUGGUGGGGUAACGGCUCACCAAGGCGACGAUCCCGAGCUGGUCUGAGAGGAUGACCAGCCACACUGGAACUGAGACACGGUCCAGACUCCUACGUGUGGCAGCAGUGGGAAAUAUUGAACAAUGGGCGCAAGCCGGAUGCAGCCAUGCCGCGUGUAUGAAGAAGGCCUUCGGGUUGUAAAGUACUUUCAGCGGGGAGGCGUUACCCGCAGAAGAAGCACCGGCUAAUUCCGUGCCAGCAGCCGCGGGAAUAC